rnacentral:ncRNA from 1 species
AGGAGCCGUGUGAGAUGAAAGUCUCAUGCACGGUUUUUUUUGAAUGAGAGAAAGAAGUGAGGAAUCCUCUUUUCGACUCUGAC